UGAUAUUGUGAGUGAAAGUGAUUUUUUUUUCACACACAAACAGCACUUUUACUGAUGAUAUAAUUGUUGUAAUACAUUUUACUGUUUUGAAACACUAAUAUUUGUGUUCAGCAAAGUCUCCCAAGUAUAACAGUACCCCCCAUGUACAGCUUUUAUAGCAUUUUUGAGAGUUACAGGGUCAAAUAUUUCUACAUUGAAAAAUGCCAGGUUGGUUACAUUGCCUUUGAGAGCAUAUAGUAGCCCAGGAAUGAGAAUUACCCCCAUGAUGGCAUACCAUUUGCAAAAGUAGACAACCCAAGGUAUUGAAAAUGGGGUAUGUCCAGUCUUUUUUAGUAGCCACUUAGUCACAAACACUGGCCAAAAUUAGCAAUCAAUUUAGUUUUUUUCCUUUUUCACACACAAACAAAUAUGAACGCUAACUUUGGACAGUGUUUGUGACUAAGUGGCUACUAAAAAAAAGACUGGACAUACCCCAUAUG